GUGAGGAAUCUUCCACAAUGGGCGAAAGCCUGAUGGAGCAACGCCGCGUGAAGGAUGAAGGUCUUCGGAUUGUAAACUUCUUUUAUGAGUGAAGAAUAUGACGGUAAUUCAUGAAUAAGCACCGGCUAACUACGUGCCAGCAGCCGCGGUCAUACGUAGGGUGCAAGCAUUAUCCGGAGUGACGGGGCGUAAAGAGUUGCGUAGGCGGUUAUGUAAGCGAAUAGUGAAACCUGGUGGCUCAACCACACAGACUAUUAUUUGAACUGCAUAACUAGAGAAUGGUAGAGGUAACUGGAAUUUCUUGUGUAGGAGUGAAAUCCGUAGAUAUAAGAAGGAACACCAAUGGCGUAGGCAGGUUACUGGGCCAUUUCUGACGCUAAGGCACGAAAGCGUGGGGAGCGAACCGGAUUAGAUACCCCUGUAGUCC
rnacentral:rRNA from 1 species